UCCUGCUCAUCGAAGUCUUACCUUGACUGGCAGUUCCGUGGUCACUCUAAUAUGGGGUCCAAAGUGGAUUUGGGCACUACAUGCGCGACCGUCGAUCCUUGAUUAGUGUGGCCGAUGCAAUAGGUGCGCGAAAUAUCAGUUUGUGCAUGGCCUACGCUUGCCGAAAUGUCCGCAUUUGCGUUCCGUGUUUUCGCAUUAUGGACAUUGGCUGCAUUCUCAUGUGGCAGCUGAAAUCUCCAAAUCAAAGCAAUGUAAACUUUCCUGCUGUAACGCACAAUUUUGUAGACAUGAUGACGAAACUCCUGGAAUAAGAUAUAAAGAAAAACCCAAAAAAGAAAUAAAAUCAAUGACAAAAGGAGCGGAAAUAGCAAACUAAAGGAAGUAAGCAGACGGUUAACACGGCCGCACUAGUGGGCCGGGUCAUGGCAAACAAAUUGUGAAUGUGGAUCAGGUUGGGUCCGCCUAUCAACAUCAGCAACGGCAUUCCUAGUGCCCCCCAGAAACAGAAGCAAUACAGCAGCGGAAGCUCCAUCUACAUCCAACGAUCUGUCGGCCCAACCACGCCCUCCGAGUCGGCGCAACGACGACACCAGCAGCUGUUAAGUCCCCCUAGUCUCUAAGUUUACGCACUGUCGCCGCCAAUAUCUGUUUUUUACAUGUAGAAAUUUAAAAAUGUUUUAUUUGAUAAAGUUAGAUCCAUAACAUGAUUUCUUGCCAUAGUCCGACCGAAUUUGCUUCACCAUAGUAUGACCAGAAUAACCGGCAAGCUUUUGGCAUACGUGCAGUUUGCUCUUCUGGACGGCUGGCUCUUCUUGUCGAUAUUGGAUCGUCUGUUUAGUUUGUCUGCUGUAUGAUUGUCUGAUGCCCACAAACCGUUCCAAAUUACCACGCACACACUUUUAAAUUUUUUUUCGUUUUUACAUUUUU
rnacentral:sRNA from 1 species